CCUACGGGAGGCAGCAGUGGGGAAUUUUGGACAAUGGGCGCAAGCCUGAUCCAGCAAUGCCGCGUGAGUGGAGAAGGCCUUCGGGUUGUAAAGCUCUUUUGUCAGGGAAGAAACGGCAGUUUCUAAUACAGAUUGCUAAUGACGGUACCUGAAGAAUAAGCACCGGCUAACUACGUGCCAGCAGCCGCGGUAAUACGUAGGGUGCAAGCGUUAAUCGGAAUUACUGGGCGUAAAGCGUGCGCAGGCGGUUUUGUAAGUUUGUCGUGAAAUCCCCGGGCUCAACCUGGGAAUGGCGAUGAAGACUGCAAGGCUAGAAUCUGGCAGAGGGGGGUAGAAUUCCACGUGUAGCAGUGAAAUGCGUAGAGAUGUGGAGGAACACCGAUGGCGAAGGCAGCCCCCUGGGUCAAGAUUGACGCUCAUGCACGAAAGCGUGGGGAGCAAACAGGAUUAGAUACCCUGGUAGUCCACGCCCUAAACGAUGUCUACUAGUUGUCGGGUUUUAAUUAACUUGGUAACGCAGCUAACGCGUGAAGUAGACCGCCUGGGGAGUACGGUCGCAAGAUUAAAACUCAAAUGAAUUGACGGCNGAGAGNGCGACGGACGACGACGAGGGAGGAGG
rnacentral:rRNA from 1 species